rnacentral:rRNA from 1 species
UACGUAGGGUGCGAGCGUUGUCCGGAAUUAUUGGGCGUAAAGGGCUCGUAGUCGGUCCAUCGCGUCGGGAGUGAAAAGCUGGGGCUUAACCCCAGUCCUGCUUUCGAUACGGGUGGACUAGAGGUAGGCAGGGGAGAAUGGAAUUCCUGGUGUAGCGGUGAAAUGCGCAGAUAUCAGGAGGAACACCAAUAGCGAAGGCAGCUCGCUGGGACGGUACUGACGCUAAGGCGCGAAAGCGUGGGGAGCGAACAGG